GAUGAACGCUGGCGGCGUGCUUAACACAUGCAAGUCGAACGAUGAAGCCCAGCUUGCUGGGUGGAUUAGUGGCGAACGGGUGAGUAACACGUGAGUAACCUGCCCUUUACUCUGGGAUAAGCCUGGGAAACUGGGUCUAAUACUGGAUAUGACUUCUCAUCGCAUGGUGGGGGGUGGAAAGAUUUAUUGGUCUUGGAUGGACUCGCGGCCUAUCAGCUUGUUGGUGAGGUAAUGGCUCACCAAGGCGACGACGGGUAGCCGGCCUGAGAGGGUGACCGGCCACACUGGGACUGAGACACGGCCCAGACUCCUACGGGAGGCAGCAGUGGGGAAUAUUGCACAAUGGGCGCAAGCCUGAUGCGGCGACGCCGCGUGAGGGAUGACGGCCUUCGGGUUGUAAACCUCUUUCAGUAGGGAAGAAGCGAGAGUGACGGUACCUGCAGAAGAAGCGCCGGCUAACUACGUG
rnacentral:rRNA from 1 species